CCCUAGAACUUAAAGUAUUAAAAAAAAAAAAAGAAUUGCUUAACAUAAAAAAAAGAAAAAAAAGAAAUUUUGAAGGGACAUAUUUGCCCAUAGCAGUAGAAAUAGGAAUCUUGAAAGUUUUACUGGACUUUUCAAAGUGAAAUGUAAACACAGAAGAUGACUGAUAGAGUCCCGCAACAGCUUAAAUGAGAUAAGAUGGAAGUGAACAAAGCAAAAUAAAUUAGUAUUCAUAUUUUUUUCUCACUUUUAUUCUCUCUUGUUCACAUGGACUUUCCAAUAUUUAUCCAGAAUUUUCACAGGCAAGAAAGAAGAGAGGUUUGUGGCUGCAUUUGAACCUAGGAAUUGACUUUGAGAACUCAGAUGCCUGGAACCAGCUGUGCAGCGUGUCUGCCUCCUGGACUUGGCAGCAGGGCCUCACUUUCACUGGCUUUGCCCAUCAUCCUCAUAAUUGUAGUAGGUGUCUCCUGCUGCAGAGCCUGGUCCGUGUCUGAGAAAAUGUGAUCUCUGUGAGGAAUUCCGAGUCCAGUUUGGAGAGAGUGAAGAGGUCAGCUGGCAGGGUCUCUCGUGAUAAAGGAUCCAGGCGUUACCGCCAGCAGUGCUGGAGCGGGCCCUGGGGCUGAACCCACCACUGGAUGUAGCCUGUGGCACUCCUUGGGUGACCUUUGCCUCAGCAAACUUAGGGUAGUUUUUUUUUUUCCUGCUCCCCUACCUGAUUCCUAGAUAGGAGAUUCUCUUGUCCUGGAGAAUCUUAAGAGAAGUAUGUCUGUGUUCUUGGAAUCAGGAGAGCUCGGUUACUUGGGGGUGGAAACUGAGUCUUUUCUAAUUUCCAUGGAACCUUUGCACCUCGUAGGUGCUCAGUAAUGGUCAGUUUGCUGAAUGUAUCUGUAAAUCUUAUACUUAGAGUUUAUGCUUUAAUGCUGGUAGAUGUGUUUUGUCUGCAUGAAUAAGAAUCUUUCACAUGUAACUUAUUUUUCUACAGCGGAAACAAAUCUUAGGAUGUAAUUUCAAUUUUACCAAAAAUGUACCUUUUUUGAAUAUAGCAAUGUAAUUUCUCUUUUAAACCCGUUCUGUGAGUUGGCAGAGAUUUAUCACAGAGGCAUUGCAGAGGUGAGACCGGGAGACCCUCAGCUGCCCUUGAGCUGUCCUGACCCUGCUCUCUGCACCUCACAGACUUCCCCAGCGGGCGGCCCUCAGGCCCUGUGUCCUCCUGACCCUGCUCUCUGCACCUCACAGACUUCCGCAGCGAGUGGCCCUCAGGCCCUGUGUCCUCCUGACCCUGCUCUCUGCACCUCACAGACUUCCCCAGCGGGCGGCCCUCAGGCCCUGUGUCCUCCUGCUGCCACAUGCACUAGGCCAGUGGCACCUUAGGGGGCCCUUGCUGCCCAGACACUCCAUGCAGACCUUUCUUUUCUGAGAUGCAGCUACUUCCCCGAGCUCUAUGUGGAGGGCAGGGAAAGUGAUGGUCUGCUCUAAGAUGCACCAGCCACCUGAGGGUCCAUCACCCUCCCUCUGGGGGGGCAAGGCAGAGGACCCCGUUUCUGUAGGGCUCCCAGUUUCUCUGUGCCCCUGGCUUCCUCUCCUUCUUCCCUGGUUCCAGGAGCGCCGUCCAGUCCUGCUCUGGCAGAUCUGAGUUCUUUGAAGUUCUCCUGGGGGUUAAACCUAAACUCAGAAGCCAGAACUCGGUAAUAUUACCCUCUCCAGUUAGCUGUCAGAUCCUGUACCCGUCAUUGUGGGAUGUCCUAAAUGCGUAAAGAGGGUGGGGCAAGGCGGUAAAGGAGAAGAACAGAGGAACUGCAGUCAGCAGUUCAGAUAGUACCUCACUGCAUUUCUCAGGAAGAUUCGCCUCUGACACCUUUAAGGACUUGUUUUCGUUAACAUUCUGGUAAACUUGGUUUCUUCCUGCAGCUUUACAUUUAUAAAUACAGCUAUUCAUAUUCAUCAUCAUGCUGAGGUCUCAGGAUGGUUGUGCAUCUCUCACAGAUGGAGUUGCUGCAGUAGAGUGUGUAGCACUUAGUCCUGUGUGCAGGUGGGAGUGAACACUGAGCCACCACAUCAAGCAAGAAAUAGUGUAUACGUAUCUCAGUAUGGGUGGAUGGAUAGACAGACGUUAUUUAGACAAAGUCACAUAAACUAUACAAUUCACCCAUUUAAGAUGUACAAUUUAAUGGCUUUUAGUGCAUUCACAGAGUUGUUGUUCAGCCACAAUCAAUUUUAGAACUUUUUUGUCACCUCAGAAAGAAACCUCUACCUCUUAUGCAGUCUCCCUCCCCCCAGCCCCAGCCCCACAUUCCUCAGCCCCUGUUUACCACGCAUCCAUUUUCCGCCUCUGUAUAUUUCUUUGUCCCGGACAUUUCAUAAACAUGGCAUCGCACAGUUUGUGGCCUUUCGUGUCUGGCGUCAUUCACUGAGCACUGUGUUUCCCAGGUUCUCAAUGGCUGAGGGUUGUGUGGAUGGACGAUGUUUUGUUUGUCCAUCAUCAACUGAGAAACAGUUGGUAGUUUCACUUUUUGGCCCCGUGAAUAACACUGCUAUGAACAUUUCUUUACAAGUGUUUGUGUGGACCUGCUUAGCAAUUUCCUUAAAUAUGUGGAAUGACAUCCCCUCAGAUGUUAGUAACUAAAACUUUUCUGUUUUUUUGAUAUGUACCUUUUGCCAUGAUAAGAAGCUAUCAUUGAAUUCAAGAGUUUCAAGAAUUGUGUGUAAAAAACAUUUGGAAUAAAAACCUCCACCUUAAGAUGCAAAAGGGAAAAAAGGAAAUUCUCCAGAAAGAUUAAUUGAAAAAGAAGAAAGCAAAAAGCACCUCACAAUCAGCACUUGUCAAAUGAGGCCUGGUGGUCAGAGCCCCCUCUGUGUGCCUAGCUCGUGAGUCUUCAGGAGUCAGGCCUUGAAGAGUGUCCGCCAUUCGUUCUGGGACAGGAAGGGAGAGAUGAUUGGCCAGGAGGCUGCAGCUGCAGCUCGCGAGAGCAGCGCCUGGCGCCAGCUGCCACCCUCAGGCUUGGAGCAGAGAAGAGAUGGAAACCAAAUAACUGAGGCGGGUCAGGGCCUUCACGCACGUUUUUCAAGAAAUUCAUCUUUUCUUAAUGUUUUCCUUGUGUUAAGUGAGUCAGGAAAUUGAAAAAUAGAAAAAAUAAGCGUGAAGGUAGGUAGUUGACUCUCAGAUUUAUUCAGUUAUUUUUAAGGAGUUUAUCCUACUAAUAUGAGUAAAAUAAAUUUUUUAUUAGGAAUUAUGAGGGCUUAUUUUCUAUCGAGA